GUCGGCGUAGCUCAGUUGGUUAGAGCACAUCACUCAUAAAGAUGAGGUCGGAGGUUCGAUCCCUCCCGUCGACA
rfam:Candidatus Yonathbacteria bacterium RIFOXYC2_FTLL_47_9 rifoxyc2_full_scaffold_4218, whole genome shotgun sequence.